GUCAACAAAACAAUACUGAGUGACAAGCAGCAUCCAGGAGAACUCAAAAGACCUCGGAUGCACCACUCUGCUCUGCCGCUGUCCUGGCGGGUGACCACCUACCGCCUCCUGCUGUUUCAGUGCCUCCAGCUAUGAAAAAGGGACAAUGACAUUUACCAACUGUGGAAAGAGCUUUGAACUGUAAAGAUUGCUACAUCAGAGACAGGAACGACAGGAAAAUACCUUUUCAAUGUGAGCUGGUUAGAUCAGGAUUCUGUAAAGUGAGUGGUACCAGCAGGCAACCUUUUAAAAAGUCUCAAGACCAUGAAGAAUCGGGUAGUCCAUGACCACAGUUAGGUCUCCUUAUGAUGGUGCUUAGAAGUGUCCUGAAAAAUCUUCACCAGGGGAGGUUUGCAUUCAGUAGCAAUCUGAGAACAAAAUCCUUUUAGUGUAAUUUCAACUUUGCCUUUCUGCCCUUGUGCAAUACAGAGACUGAUUUAUCUAUAUUGGUGUUAAAAUAAUAGAGCUAUGCUAAAGUGAUAAUCUGGAGAUUCUCCAAGCAGCAGUAAGCAAGUGACUUUCUGUGGCAUUAGAACAGCUUUAACUUCUGCUUUUUUUUAAUAUUGUGAAGAAAUGGAAAAAGGAAGACAGAUAUGACUAAAUAAUCUUUUUUAUCUAGUUGAACACACUUCCUAUUUUUGGUCAAUUCUGUGCUUUUUCUGUUUGUUCUUUGAGAACAAAUACAAAUGAAGUACCUUUAAAAAAAGAAAUUUUUUUAAUAUUAAAAAACGCUAAAUAGUUGCUGAAAACAAAAAUUCAAAUCAGUAAUAAACCUACUACUUGAACCCAAGUGCAGUUAAGUUCCCACAAACUAAUUCACAUGGGCAAAUUUCUCUGCUCUAUUCAUAAACAUACUAUCAAGGGCCUCAGUCUCUGUGGGGGCAAACAUAAGAUGAAGCGUAUCACAUAGCACAAAAACUGCUAGAAUCUUCCCCAUUACUGCUGUUACUUUUAUGAGAAGGCUGAUUAAAAUACAACAAGCGGUGAGUAUCAUCUAUAUAAACCCCCAAAUUAGACUCACUGAGCCCUCCCUCUUGCCUGACUCUACGGUUAAAUCUGCAAUAAAGAGCUUGUCUGUACGAUCUCAGCUUCAGCUUUUAUUCUUCUUGACAUUCUUGUAUUUGCCAAAAAACCACUUGUUUGGAUGAAAUUAUGUUCACAGCAAUCUUUGCAUGGUAUAGAAUAUUUUAUUUUCUCCUGUAAUGAUGCACUGCUAAUGGUAAUAAGGCAGCUGCCAUUUUCUGGUAUGCCAACUAAACCUAUGGGGUGAUGAAAAGUUUCUCUAAGACACGAACUGCCGGUUUUCCCUUUUUCUCCAUGCCAGCCACCUUCAUCAACGGUCAGAUACAGCAAUUGCACCUUGCUUCACCUGUCGAUGGUGUAUACCACUGAAACAGAUUCUAAGUAAUGCCCACAGUAACAGCACCAGCAGCAGAACAACUUUCUUGACAAGUGAGAAGCACCUCGCCUCCGUUCAAAACUUUCUGACAAGGUUUCAGCUCAUUUAUGGAUCAGAGGUGGGGGGAGGAGGCAAUGAAGUAGCACAUAACUGCCGUGCAGUCUGCCAAAAGUAGUUGGGAGAUCAGUGCUCUUCACUUAAAACUGGCUGAGUGCCUGUCACCUGCUGCUGGGCCACCUACAGCUCCUUUUUAGAGGCCACGGAAAUCCCAGCGCUGGGCAUCGCUCGCUCCAACCAUCCACCCUGUAAUGAAAUGCCCAGAGCUUGUUGCGUUGCGCACAGCAAAGCAGCUGUAGAAAGGAAAAUGCUUUCUAGUAUUUAUGUCAGUAACCCAAGAGAGCCCUCUAGGAAAGUCAGUGUGGUGACAAUGCCUAACCAUGGGUGGAAGAAGACAGAGUGUGUCUUGGUCUUAACUGUGUAAAAGUGUUGGAGCAUUGCUUGGGUUUAAAUAUCUGCUGAUGUCAAUUAUAUUUACCAUCUUCCUGCCACCUAAAGAUAAGACAGAUCUGACUGCAGAAUAAAUCCAUGUUAGUGGUAUACUUUAACAAUAA